AAGUCAAUCAGUGUUACUGUGGAGUCCAAGGGUUAGGGGUUCUUAUCAGAAACUCAAGUGGAGCCAUUGACAUGAAAUCUAUUUAAUCUCCUCUCUCCUGCCCUUGUCUCCAUGGCUGUCUUCAUUCCAGAAUACUUGAAAUCCGUCCCAACAAGCCACACCUACAGAUCUUUACCCAUGCCUGGAGUGCCCCUGUGCCCCCUGGAAGACUCCUGUACAUCCUUCCAAACCCAGCCAGACAGAGCCUUCUCUUAGAGUCUUUCCUUACCAACCUACUCACACAGAUGUGACUGUUUCCUUCACGCAAUCCUGUUGUCUUCUUUCCUCUUGACCACCAUUGUGGGUUUCCACACCUGUUUUCCUUACCUGAGAUAGGUCCUGAAGGGCAUGGCCUGGUCUUAUUCACUGUCAUGGCUCUGCUCCCUAUCGGGGUGCUGAACACACAGUUGGCGACCAGAAAGGCUAGUAGAGUUGACUUGGCUGAGGUUGCUGGGCCCCUGUGUGUCAUCCCCUCUGACUUUCCGAUGACCGCUCCAUCUUCUUAGGUCAUUCCUAUAGCCAGAGCUCUUGGCUAUGCCUCAGCUGCUGUCUCUGCACUGUCAGGCUGGUCCUCUGUGAUUCUGUUGGCAAGAGGACCCCUAAAGGUGAGACAGGGUGUGAAUAAGAUGGAUCUGAUGGCUUCACGGAACACUAUCAAUUUGUGCUGCUUCCUGUGAACCCCUCAAGGUCCCUGCAGUAGAUAGCAAGUUAGACAGGUUAUUUACCAAAGAGUGGCCCCUUCUCUCUGGAAAUACUGCAUGUGUAGAAACAGUGGGAGAGAAAGGAGAAAAGAGAACAGCUGCCCAGAUGACCAGGUGGAUCCCAACAACCUUAGCCAGCAAUGAUGGGGCAGCGGUCACUGCAGGCUCACACAGCAUCAAGGACUCCAAUAAGAUGUUCCCAGUCUCUUGGGGGUGGAAUUGGGAUUCAAACAAAUGGCUUCCUUUUUGACAAGUGGAGGAUUUUCUAAUGGGAGGAGAGCAGGCCCCAGGAGCUGGCAGAGAUGAGGCCUGUAAUAGCAGUUGCUGCCACCUGUGAGCCCCCCCAACCCAUUCCUGAUGGGAGAGAUCUCAGUGAUGAGGGUGUGAAAAUUGUAUCAGCUCAUUAUCACUCGGACCCAAGUUCUGUGUCUGCUUGGCCUGAGGAAUGGUGGAUUACAUAACAAAUAAAAUCUCAGAGUUCUUAAAACUCAGUAGAAAUAGAAGAUGUUUAAGCUAUGCUUGUGCACUUCCUUCUUUAUUCUUUCUCACACUCAGCCUUCCUGCAGAAACUGUGACUCACCCCAGAAAGGCAACCCUUCCCAUCCCUCUGGCCCUAAGCCUCCAAGGCUGCUCAGCAUCUAGCCUGAGUGGGUGAAUGUCAUACUAGAUUCCAUGUCAGAUUCAAGGCCAAGUGGGUGAAUGUCUUGUGCAGUGUUGUGCCAGGUAUGUGCCAGGAGCCGCGUCUUCCUUGGGGACAGCCUAGUGGAGCAGGAGACACAAACACAUGCUUGGAUGGAGGUAUGCAUGUGCCAGUAACUGGAAUCCCUGGGAUAACAGAGCCCUACAGAGAGGCACCUAAAGAACAAAGUGACAGCAAGUGUCACCAACAAAGGACAGACAUGGAAAGGUGGGUGACAAUCCCCAGGAGAAGUAGGAUAAAAGUCCAAGGAAUUCUGAUACAUUUCUGUCUCCUUUCAGUGGCUUCAUUGAGCACAUUAAAUACGGCCACGUCCCAGUUUACAGAUGUAGAAACUGAGGCUCAGUGAUUGCAAGUGGCUUCCAAACUGCUACUGAUCACAAUAAAAUAUUAUAAAAACUAACAGGAAGGGACAUGGAAGGUCCUAUCCUGCUGUGGUGCACCUGCCAUUCCCUACUAAGUGUCACUAUGGGAAAUAGUGAGACUCAAGGCUGCAACUGCAGAUUGGUUGAGAUUCAUGUUCCUGGCUCAAGGGUUACUCCCAGCAGCACCCACUGUGGGUUUUCUGGAACAAAGGACUCCACCUCAUCUCAGUGGAGGAUUACUGGAGGAUCGCCUUAUCUAUGUUCCCACCCUGGGAGGUGCACACAACACAUUCAGACAAGUAAAGAUUCCAGUGUUAUCUGAUUACUGUCAACAGCUUCAUUCACUCACCUAAAUCCACAGCCCUUGUUUUUUUUUUUAAGGAAAUAAAUAUGUUUUAUUCUUUCCUUUAAAACACAUACUUGGCUAUGAUGAUUUUUAUUCUAAGAUGACGAUUUACCUGCCCUACGAGCUUCAGGGGGUGGUCUGACUGAUUGGAAUCUAUACCAACAGUGAUAGACUAAUCGUUACUUGGACCUAAAACAUAGCCAGCACUGUGUCCUAACUAAUGCAAAUUGGUCUUGCUCUGCAAAGGAAAAUAAUUGAAGGCAUGUUCUGCCACUUAAUUCCACAGAAGGUAGUAUCUUCUAACAUGUAGGGACUUGCCUACUGAGAAACGCACUGAAUGUGUCAAGGAAGAUACUAUGUAUUGGAAUAACACCCCAACCACCAAAUGCCUCUCACCUACUCAUUUCCUGUAUUAAAGCAUUUAUCAUGUUUUUAUGCUUAGUUUUUGGUCUUGUUUUUUUCCUUUUUGUGGAGAACGGGGUCUUGCUGUAUUGCCCAGGCAGGUCUUGAACUCCUAGGCUCAAGCUAUCCUCCCACCUCUGCUUCCUUAAGAGUUGGGAUUACAGGCGUGAGCCACAGCGCCCGCCUCAUCAUGUUUUUAAAGCUGUGCUCCCAGAUGUUAUUCUUGGUCUUGGUCAACUCUUCACCCUAAACACACAGAGCAGAGACAAAUAAGCAGAUAAUUAUAGUACAGCCGAAGAAAAGUAAUCUUACAAAUAUGAGAAAUAUAGCGUCCUUAUCAACUAUGAAAGACUUACCUUCUUUUUCAGUCUAGUUAGUGUUGGAUCAAAGUUAAAUCUCAAAGAACAUUCAGAGAAGCAUGAGGCUCAGAUAUCAGCAUCAGUGGACAAGGAUGUCCAGGAACUCAGUGAUGUAUGGAACACCAUCACUCUGUUAAUUUCAUCUUUUUAUAUUGGUAGCCCAAGUGGUACCCUCUCUUCUGGGAAGCUUGUUCUGUCUUCCAGUGGCCAACUUCAUUGCUGGUGGUAUGGGGGGAGGCAGCAUUGCUCUGGAAUGAUUUGUGUGUUAGAUUCAAAUUUCACAGGUCAUGAUCUUGAGGAUGUAAACUCGAGAAAAAAAAAAGGAAGAUUAUCUCUCUGUAACUCAGCUCUCAAGUCCCCAUUCUUCUCAGUAAGGCAACACUUGAUUUUGCAGGUUGGGGUGGCCAGGUAGUAUCUAAGUUUUGUUUUUAUUCAUUUAUUUUAAAAAUUGUUUUGAGACAGGGUCUCACUCUGUUGCCCAGGCUGGAGUGCAGUGCUGUGAUUAUAGCUCAUUGCAGCUCUCUCUCUCUUUGAAAGACAUGAAUACAACAGAAGCAACAAGACUUGAUGGAUGAGAAGUGUGAGACCUUGGAAUUUCUGGGCCUGUUUCCUCAUCUGUCCAUGGGGGAAAUUGACCAGAAUUGGCCUGUGAAGACCAAGGUCCUCCUUGUCCCAAUCAGAAGACCCCUGUAGGUCUGCCUGCCUCUCUCAACUUCUGUGUCCCUGUAGGUUUCAAAGACAUUCCCUGUCCUUUAUUCUCCUUCUUUUUUUUUUUGAGACGGAGUUUCGCUCUUGUUACCUAGGCUGGAGUGCAAUGGCGCGAUCUCGGCUCACCGCAACCUCUGCCUCCUGGGUUCAGGCAAUUCUCCUGCCUCAGCCUCCUGAGCAGCUGGGAUUACAGGCACGCACCACCAUGCCCAACUAAUUUUCUGUAUUUUUAGUAGAGACGAGGUUUCACCAUGUUGACCAGGAUGGUCUCGAUCUCUCGUGAUCCACCUGCCUCGGCCUCCCAUCUCCUUCUCUUAUUAAUCACUUAGGGUCCACCAGGUCUUCCAGCCCAAUCAAGGACCACGAGCUCCUGCGGGCAGGAGGAAGAACAAAGGUGGGAUAGGAUGGAACUGGGAGAAGAUAACCACACAUUUAGGCCCUGAAAUUUAAAUUCUGGAUUGGUCUCUUAAUUGAGAUUGCAGAGAAAUGGUUUCACACAUGCUCACACCCACUCACACACAGCUCUUACUCCAGGAAAUGGUAGUGGAUACAUGUCAUGCUAAGUACCUACCCUGCAUUAACUGAUUCACUCUGUCCAACAACCCUGUGGUACUGGUAUUGUUACGAUCCCUAUUUAUAGAUGAGCAAACUAAGCCUCAGGAUGGUUAACUGACCCAUCUAAGGUUACAUCACUAAUUGCUCUUGCAGAGCCAGGAUUCAAAUUUAGAUCCUCUAGUUUGAGAGCCCAGGGUCAUAAUCUUUUAACACAGGCCCAACCCUGCCUGAGGUCACACAGAGUUAGUGGGGAACUAGCAAUGCAGCCCAGGCCUUCUGAAUAGGUAGUGCCAGAGCUCUGCCCCUACACUGGGACAAAGUGAGACCCCCUAGCAAACUCGUUAAUGAGGGCUGGGGUGCAGCAAUGCCGUUUCUUCUCCCUGACCGCCUUUGCCCUGAAGUAUAAGCACUUCUGUAGACUUUAUGACAAAAAAAGAAGAGGAGCUCUCUCUCUAGUGCCGCCUUGUGAAGAGGGUGUCUUCUUCCCCUUUGCCCUCUGCCAUGAUUGUAAGUUUCCUGAGGACUCCCAGCCAUAGGAAACUGUGAGUCAAUUAAGCCUCUUUUCUUUAUAAAUUAAUAAAAAAGAAGAAGAGGACUUGAUCAUAACUGUUUGCUUUCUGCUCCACUCUAGAGUGUCUAUUUCUUGAUAAACUAACCACUAACAUUGCCAUGGCACUUCACAGUUUAUACAUUCUUUCCUCUCUUAAUGAUCAGCAAUACAACUUUGUAAGGUGAGUAUUGGUAGGAUGAUUUAACUUGUACUUUAUAGGUGUGGAAACAGACAGAUGGGAAGAGACUUGCAGAAGUGACUAACCCAUGAAGCCAGGGCAUGGAGCCAGAUGUUGUCAUUACAAACCGUGCUGGUGGCCUUCUUGCUGGGAAUUCAAGGAAGCUCCUAAAAUAACUUGGCAGGUUGUGUCAGUCACAUGAGAUAAAUACUUCCUUCUACACCUCUCACCACACUGCUAGUAUAGUUAUAACAUGCUACAGAGCUGGCCACGAAAACGACAUGCUCGUCCUAUACUUUACCAAAUUGUGUAUUCAGUGAACUUGUGGUUUCAGCAGAAAGGGGAAUGUUGCAAAUAAUUUUGACAUGUCGCAACCAGAAUUAUUUUUGUUUCCAGGAAAGCAAAAUGUAAAAGGUGAUGAAAUCAACAUGUGAAAGAGAAGCCCAACAAGCCUCUUUCAUAAGCUCAGCAGGCAAGUGCCAGAGAGGGUCCCACUGGUGCUUACUCACAGUUUCAAGAGCUGAGCACACAGUGGCUGUUACCCUGGGAUGCUUACAGCAUUCACGUGCAUGGGGAGCUUUUAACAACCACAGGUUCACUGGGUGCAGUGGCUCAUGCCUGUAAUCCCAGCACUUUGGGAGGCUGAGGCGGGCAGAUCAUGAGGUCAGGAGUUGAAGACCAGCCUGGCCAACGUGGGUACUAAAAAUACAAAAAUUAGCCGGGCAUGAUGGUGUGUGCCUGUGAUCCCAGCUACUCAGGAGGCUGAGUCAGGAGAAUUGAUUGAACCCGGGAGGCGGAGGUUGCAGUGAGCUGAGAUCAUGCCAUUGCCCUCCAGCCUUGGGUGACAGAGCAAGACUCCAACUCAAAAAACAAAAAUAAAACACAAGAAGGGGUUGCCCAGGGGCCUAACAAUGAGGAGGCAGGGACCAGUGAGGGUCAUCUGGAGAGAAUCGAAAGUUUCCCAUCAAUCCAGAGACAUGAAAAAGAAGGCAUCAUGCCCGACUCUUUCCAUGAGGACCAUAACCACAUGAUCCAAAUCAGACAAAAAUCAGGACCACAAAGGAAGAUGGCAUGCCAGUCUCAUUCAUAAGCAUCAGUGCAAAAAUCCUGAGCAAAAUAGUAGCAAGUCAGAGACAGCAGUGAUCAAAGAUGAUAUACUAUGACCAAGUUGAAUUUAAACCUGAGGCUCAAGAAUGGUUAACAGAGAAAAGAGAUAAGUACAAAUGAUCUUGCAACAGAUUAAAGUAUAACAGUUAUUAGAUAAUCUCAAUGGUUUCAGGAAGAGUCUUUGAUAGUUCAGUAAUAUUAAUAAUAUAUAAUAAUAUUCAACUUUCAUUUAUGAUAUUUAAAAACUUCAACAACUAAUAGCAGGGAAAUUUUCUUUUUUGGAGAGGGAGUCUUGCUCUGUUGCCCAGGCUGGAGUGCAAUGGCACAAUCUCAGCUCACUACAACUUCUCCCAAGUUCAAGGAUUCUCCAGCCUCAGCCUCCCAAGUACCUGGGACUACAGGUGCCUGCCACCAUGCCCAGCUGAUUUUUUGUCUUUUUAGUAGAGACAGGUCUCACUGUGUUAGCCAGCAUGGUCUCAAUCUCCUGACCUCAUGAUCUGCCCGCCUCGGCCUCCCAAAGUGCUGGGAUUACAGGCAUGAGCCAACGGCUGAGACUUUUUUAAUCUAGUGAAAGCUACCAAGGGAAAACAUUAUUCCCAGUAGUAUAAAAGGAUUAUCCUCUUAUACCUUCUCAAUGUAUACCAUGUGCAUAUAUUAACCAUUUCGAAACUAGUAACAUUAUUCAAACAAAGAAAAUCCUAUGAAUUAACUUACUUUUUUCCUGUAAUUGAAAAGAAUAUCCUAGCUUGUCCUUGUCAGAAGUUCAGCUUGUGAUUCACCUGGGGUCAACACAGGGCAAGGUUUAAUAAUCACUGAAAUAAUUAAACAUUGUAAUGUCUCAUGAGGCUGCUUGAACCGCUCUUAUUUCAAGGACGCUGAGAGGCUGGGGGAAAACAGAGGGUCAGCAAUUUCAUUCAGCUGAGGUCAUCUUGGUUUACAAACUGGAUUUUGUGACUGUUAGUUGGGACAUGAGUUUCUUUGAUAAUCAAAUGAAUGGAAUGAACCAUCUCCCCAGAAUAAAACAGCAUCCAGGAUUUUUGCAUGUAGUGUCAAGAGGACUCCAGGGAGACGUUACUUGGAAGCUUGCCAAACCCACUGACUUUCCAAGGGGCCUGCCCACCCAAGUGCAGCCCAUGCCUGACACCUAGCCCACAAUGCCCUAUUCUGAUCGGUUACAUGGUUAUCUUCAGAACCACGAGAUCCUCUUUAUCAGUGUGAAUGGGUUCUCCACUGUACCCAGUGCUAUGACACAAUACAGGGGAACAGAACCGUAAGGGAAAAUGUGAACAAGAACUUCAAAAAAGGAGCCAUACCAAGACCCUAGGUGGGGUACUUCACACGGAGGGAACUGGAGAGACACCAGAAGUUCUGGAAAGGCAGAGAGAAGAGGAUCUGGGAACUACCUGAGGUGAAGUCUUCCUAAAGGAUGACUGUUUGCAUUAUCAUAGAGAAGUCUUUGGACAGAAGAAGGGAAAGUGAUAAGUAUUUCAGGCUGUGAGAAUGGUCCACCUUUUUUUAGUAAUAAAAAAAUACAGAGGUGGGAAGAUCACGAGGUCAGGAGUUCGAGACCAACCUGGCCAAGAUGGGGAAACCCUGGCUCUACUAAAAAUACAAAAAUUAGCUGGGCAUAGUGGCACAUGCCUGUAAUCCCAGCUACUCAGGAGGCUGAGGCAGAAAAUUGCUUCAACCUGGGAGGCAGAGGUUGCAGUGAGCCGAGAUCGCACCCGUGCACUCCAGCCUGGGCAAUAGAGUAAGACUUUGUCUCAACAAAAUAUAUAUUAUUAUUAUUCAGAGUCUUCCUGUAUCGCCCAGGCUGGAGUGCAAUGGCACAAUCAUGGCUUACUGCCACCUCAACCUCCCAGGUUCAAGCAAUCCUCCUGCCUCAGCCUCCUGAGUAGCUGGGACUACAGGCAUGCACACCAUGCCUGGGUAAUUUUUUUGUAGAGAUGAAUUCUGGUCUUGAACUGACUUGCCUAGGAUAGUCUUAAACUUAUGGUUUCAAGUGAUCCUCCUGUCUCAGCCUCCCAAAGUUCAUGCCUGGGAUUACAGGCAUGAACUGAGCCUCACCAUUUUUUUUUUUAGACAGAGUCUCACUCUGUUGCCAGGCUAGAAUGCAGAGGCACGCUCUUGGCUCACUGCAGCCUCCGCCUCCAUGGUUCAAGCUAUUCUCCAUCCUCAGCCUCCCGAGUAGCUGGGACUACAGGCACUUGCCACCACACCCAGCUAAUUUUCAGAUUUUUAGUAGAGAUGGGGUUUCACCAUGUUGGCCAGGAGGUCUCAAUCUCUUGACCUCGUGAUCCGCCUGCCUUGCCCUACCAAAGUGCUGAGAUUAUAGGUGAGAGCCACUGCGCCUAGCCUACUUUUAUUAUUAACAAGGUUGAAUAUUUCUAUAUUUUUGACAGCUGCAUUUCUUCUUUGAUAAAAUGUUCAUGUCCUUUGCCCUUGCGUUACCUGUUGGAGUUGCUUUUUCAUAUCACAUUAUAAUAAAUAUAAUUUAACUGGCAAAUAAAGAGAAUGACCCACCUUAACCAUUAUUAUCAUUGUUGACUCAUUUCCUUGGUUGCAAGAUACUGUCUGAAUCGAGGCAGUUUUAAUUACUGCCAAUAAAGAAGUAAUCUGGCCAGGAAUCAUGCCAACAUGUGGAUCUUGUAUGUUUAGGGCAAAGGUUCUGCGCUCCACUGGUCAGCAAGAGGCUUAAGGCUGGGUGGGACCCCAGAUAACAUCACGGGGCUUGACAGAAACCAGAGUGGCAUGUCUCAUGCCUAGUUAGUAUAUAUUUCUGAGAUUUUAAAAAUAAAUGUAUAGAGGUGAAAUGCACGUAACAUAAAAUUAAUCUUUUUCUUUAUGAUUAUCCAAUCUGAGGACUGAAAAUUAACCAUUUUGAGGUGAACAAAGGCAUGGGAUCCAGUACAUUCUGUAUUCUGCAACCACCACCUCUAUCUAGUUGCAAAACAUUCCCAUCAUUCCAAAAUAAAGCCUGUAUCAGUUAAGCAGCUUCUCCCCACUCUUCCCUCUCCCCAGACCCUGGCAUCCACCAUUGCAUGUUCUGUCUCUGUGGGUUUACCUCUUCUGGAUAUUUUAUAUGAUACAAUAUGUGGACUUUGGUUUCUGGCCUUCAUAUAAUAUUUUUGAGGUUCAUCCAUUCUGUAGCAUGUAUCAGAACUUCAUUCUUUUUAUGACCAAAUAAUAUUCCAUUUUAUGGAUAGACCACAAUUUAUCCAUCCAUUGAUGGAUGAGCUGUUUGCAUCUUUUGGCUAUUGUGAACUGGACUGUUAGGAAUAUGUGAGUCCAUGUAUUUUAUUUUUUUAUUGCAUUUUAGGUUUUGGGGUACAUGUGAAGAACAUGCAAGAUUGUUGCAUAGGUACACACAUGGCAGUGUGAUUUGCUGCCUUCCUCCCCUUCACCUAUAUCUGGCAUCUCUCCCCAUGCUAUAUCUCCCCUACUCCCCACCCCCCACUGUCCCUCCCCUACUGCCCCCCAACAGACCCCAGUGUGUAUACUCCCCUCCCUGUGUUCAUGUGUUAUUGUUCAACAUCCACCUAUGAGUGAGAACAUGUGGUAUUUCAUUUUCUGUUCUUGUGUCAGUUUGCUGAGAAUGAUGAUCUCCAAGUUCAUCCAUGGCCCUACAAAGGACACAAAUUCAUCAUUUUUGAUGGCUGCAUAAUAUUCCAUGGUGUAUAUGUGCCACAUUUUCCCAGUCCAGUCUAUCAUCAAUGGGCAUUUUUGUUAUCUGUUGUCUCCAGAUUUUUUAAUGAUCGCCAUUCUAACUGGCCUGAGAUGGUAUCUCAAUGUGGUUUUGAUUUGCAUUUCUCUAAUGACCAGUGAUGAUGAGCAUUUUUUCAUAUGUUUGUUGGCCUCAUGUAUGUCUUCUUUUGUAAAGUGUCUGUUCAUAUCCUUUGCCCACUUUUGAAUGGGGGUGUUUGUUUUGUUCUUGUAAAUCUGUUUUAGUUAUUUGUAAAUUCUGGAUAUCAGCCCUUUGUCAGAUGGGUAAAUAACUAGGUAUUGAUGGAACAUAUCUCAAAAUAAUAAAAGCUAUUUACAACAAACCAACAGCCAAUAUCAUACUGAAUGGGCAAAAACUGGAAGCUUUCCCUUUGAAAUCUGGCACUAGACAAGGAUGCCCUCUUUCACCACUCCUAUUCAAUAUAGUACUGGAAAUUCUAGCCAGAGCAUUCAGGCAAGAAAAAGAAAUAAAGGGUAUUCAAAUAGGAAAGGAGGAAGCCAAUUUGUUUCUAUUUGCAGAUGACAUGAUUGUAUAUCUAGAAGAUUCCAUCGUCUCAGCCCCAAAUCUCCUGAAACUGAUAAGCAACUUCAGCAAAGUCUCAGGAUACAAAAUCAAUGUGCAAAAAUCACAAGCCUUCCUAUACACCAAUAACAGACUUAAGGACAGCCAAAUCAAGAAUGAACUGCCAUUCACAAUUGCUACAAAGAGAAUAAAAUACCUAGGAAUACAACUAACAAGGAAUGUAAAGGACCUCUUUAAGGAGAACUACAAACCACUGCUCAACGAAAUAAGAGAGGACACAAACAGAUGGAGGAACAUUUCAUUUUCAUGGUUAGGAAGAAUCAAUAUCAUGAAAAUGGCCAUACUGCCCAAAGUAAUUUAUAGAUUUAAUGCUAUACCCAUCAAGCUACCAAUGACCUUCUUCACAGAACUGGAAAAAACCACCUUAAACUUUAUAUGGAACCAAAAGAGAGCCGCAUAGCCAAGUCAAUUCUAAGCAAAAAGAACACAGCAGGAGGCAUCACACUACUGAACUUCAAACUAUACUACAAGGCUACAGUAAUCAAAACAGCAUGGUACUGGUACCAAAACAGAGAUAUAGACCAAUGGAACAGAACAGAGGCCUCGGAGGCAACACAACAUAUCUACAACCAUUCGGUCUUUGAUAAACCUGACAAAAACAGGCAAUGGGGAAAGGACUCCCUGUUUAAUAAAUGGAGUUGGGAAAACUGGCUAGCUAUGUGCAGAAAGCAGAAACUGGACCCCUUCCUGACACCUUACACUAAAAUUAACUCCAGAUGGAUUAAAGACUUAAACAUAAGACCUAACACCAUAAAAAUCCUAGAAGAAAAUUUAGGCAAAACCAUUCAGGACAUAGGAGUAGGCAAGGACCUCAUGACCAAAACAUCAAAAGCAUUGGCAACAAAAGCCAAAAUAGACAAAUGGGACCUAAUCAAACUUCACAGCUUCUGCAUGGCAAAAGAAACAGUCAUUAGAGUGAAUUGGCAACCAACAGAAUGAGUCUGUGUAUUUUAAUCCUCUUCGAUAUAUAACUUGGAGGGGAAUUGCUGGAUCACACAGAACUUCUGUUUAACUUUUUUUUUUGAGACAGAGUCUUACUCUGUCUCCCAGGCUGGAGUAUAGUGGCACGAUCUCAACUCACGGCCACCUCCGCCUCCCAGGUUCAAUAAAUUCUCUGCCUCAGCCUCCCAAGUAGCUGGGAUUACAGGCGCCCACCACUGUGCCCAGCUGGUUUUUGUAUUUUUAGUAGAGGCGGAGUUUCACUAUGUUGGCCAGGCUGGUCUUGAACUCCUGACCUUGUGAUUCACGUGCCUCAGCUUCCCAAAGUGCUGGGAUUACAGGCAUUAAGCCACCACUCCUGGCCUGUUUAACUUGAGGAACCUCCAAGCUGUUUUCCAUAGCAGCAGCACCAUAUUACAGUCUCACCAGCAAUGAGUGAGAAUUCCAAUUUCUCCAUGUUCUUGCCAAUACUUGUUAUCUUUUUUUUUUUUAAAACAAGUCAUCUGAGUGGGCAUUAAGUGGUAACAUUUCUGGGAUUUUGACUUUGUGCAACCACAAAGAAUUAAGAAUCAGUGAGAAGAUGCCAAAGACGAGGGGGACAAGAAAAAGGUGUGGCUGGAAACCUGACGUAGGUAGCCCCUGGGCUUUCUAUUUUUGUUUUUUUGCUUGAAAAUGUUAUUAAAAUAAGGAUUAAACCUGAAAAUAGAAAAAUCAGAAUGUCAGCCCUUUGCAUAAAAUCAUCAAGAAAAAGAAAAGAGAGAGGAAAAAAGGAAGGAAAGGAAAGAGUUGUUUUUGUUUUUGAGACAGAGUCUUGCUCUGUUGCCCAGGCUGGAGUGCACUGGUGCAAUCUCAGUUCAUUGGAACCUCUGCCGCCUGGGCUCAAGAAAUUCUUGUGCCUCAGACUUCCAAGUAUCUGGGAUUACAGGCACGUGCCACCACACCCAGAUAAUUUUUUGUAUUUUUAGUAGAGAUGGGGUUUCUCUGUGUUGCCCAGGGUGGUCUCGAGCUCCUGAGCUCAGGUGAUCCACCUGCCUCAGCCUCCCAAAGUGCUGGGAUUAUGGGUGUGGACCACCAUGCCCAACCAGGCCCCUGGGUAUUCUAUGGGCUCCAGAAACAUCUCUUCUUGUUCUGUAGAAAGAAGAGAGCAAGUAGGGAUCCUCGGAAUAUGACUGAUGUGCAGGCCCUGUAUGAGUUAUUUAAACUCCCUCAGCCUCAGCUGCCUAAUCUAUAAAACGAGUGUUCAUGAUUAUGUCUUUCCCUCCCAAAGGAGCCCAGAUGAGACCAGACUUCGGCCUAUGAUCUGCAGUGGGCUUGGGACCUAGAUCUGCAAUUCUGGCUGGUGCCACCUUUGACUAGAGAGAACAGGGGAUAUUUCUAAGCCUAGUACCUGACUCUUGGUAGUCCUGCCAUAAACAUUUGCUCAAUGUGAAAACAGUUCAGUGGUUGCCAAGCCAGAGGACAAGAGUUAUAGUAUAACCCUACAUUACAUAACAUAUUUUCUUCUUAUCAAGAAAGGGAGACAUAAGUUCAAGUUUUACAGAACAAAUAAUUAAAAGAUUGGGCAUUUGCUGAGCAGGGACUCUGAGCCAGAGUGACCUUUGGAAGGGAGCACUGGAAAAGGUAGGAACUGGAAGGUGGGGAACAGCCAGAUCAGACCAGACAUGGGACUAGGAGGAAAUGAAGGGACAACUGGAACACUAUUGCCAGAAUGACAUCAUCACAAGAGUCCAGACCCCUCCAAAUCUGUCACUGACUCAUUUGACCAUGGGCAAGAUCCUUUUACUCUCAUUCUCUGUCUAGCCAUCAGAACCACAUGUUCCUGAUGCCCAGGAUUCUAUGAGCUAAGUUCAAAGCUUCCAAGGUUGCAGACCAUGAAGACAGAUAAAACGCAGGUGUGGUGGCUGAGAUCAGCAGCCAGCUAGAAUGUGUUGCAAUCUAAAUAAUGCCACCAGUGAUGACACGUAUUUGAUAUUUUCCUACAGUACCAUCUUACUGGACUGAUCCUCACUGAAUAUUAAACAAUGAACUCAACUUUGCACAUGAACUUUAGGAAGUUCAGAUUAUAAUGACUACUACAGACAGGUUGAGAAUAUGAAGUAGGCUCACCUCAGGAACACUUUAUUAGGGUCAAUUCCAGUGCUUGCCACUGAAAGUCAAGAUUUCUUUGACAGUUUUAAUUCACUCAGAAUAUAUACAUCAAAGUAGAACCUAAAAAACUGUUACUUGCAUGCCUAGAAAUGAUUUUUGCUCAAGACAAGACCCCAUGCAAACUGGCUGAAACAAAAUAGGCUCAUGCUCAUUAACUAAUCUGGAGGGCUUUAGUCAAUAAAACUCAAUGCUGAUAAAAUUACUUUAAACAAUUUUGGUAAAGUUAUAACAACAAAAACCAAAAUUUAAAAAAUACUUUUAGGAAAGAGGCAGGGACCAUGUGGUAUUCUGUUAGUACUGUGAUAGGCUGUUAGAGGUGGAUUCUCCUUUUUGUGUGUGCUAGUGACUUGAAACCAUAUAAAAAUAUGAAAACAUAAAGUUAUUUGGUAAAAGCAAAUAUAUGUACAAAUCUAAAACCUGUAUUACUGCUGCUUAGGGCCUGUAGCUUCUCUUUUAUUCUUUUAUAGGAUAUAAAAGACUAAAGCAUAACAAAUAUGUAUAUAAAUGGAUACAUGAUAUAGAAAAGUGUAAUUUGUAACAUAAAUAACAUAAAGGAGGGAGUGCAGAGCUGUAAAGGAGUAGUGGUUUUUAAUAAACUGUAAUCAGUUUAAAAUAAAUUAUUAUAACUGAAGGAAGUUUUACAUAAUCACCAUGGUGACUAUGUAAAAAUAAGUAUCUACAGAAUAUACACAAUUGGAAAUAAGAAGGUAAUCAAAACAUGUCACUGUAAGUUAUCAACCAAACAAAGAAAUGCAGUAAGGAAGGAAAUGUGUGACAAAAAAAAAAAAACCUAUAAAAUAUGCAGAACACAAAUAACAGAAUCACAACAGUAAGUCCUUCCCCAUCAGUGUGUUUUAAAUGUAAAUGUACUUGAUUUCUCAAUAUAAAGACACAAAUUGCCAGAGUGAAUAAAACAAAUAGGAUCCAACUAUACCCUUUUCUACAAGAGACUCAUUUUAAAAUCUAAAAGCAUGCAUAGGUUGAAAGUGAAAGAAUACAAAAAGAUAUUCCAUGCAAAUAAUAAUCAAAAGAUAGAAGGAGUGACUAUACUAAUAUUAUAAAAGACUGAUUGUAGUUCAAAAACUGUUACAAGAAACAGAACAUCACAUAAUGAUAAAAGAGUGAAUUAACCAAAAAUAUAUCAUUAUAAACAUAUGUGCUAAAUAUGAGAGCUCCUAAGUAUAUGUUGCAAACAUUGACAGAAUUUAAUGAAAAAGUAGUAAUAGUACAAUACAAUCUCUACAAUAAUAGUAAGAGACUUCAGUAGUCAACUUUCAAUAGUAAAUAGAACAACUAGACAAAGCACAAUAAGGAAAUCAGGGACAGGAACAAUGCUAUAGGCCAAUUAGACCCAACAGACAUAUACAGAACACUCCAGCCUGUAACAAUAGAAGAAACAUUUUUCUCAAGUGUAAUAUACUGUUCAGGAUAUACCACAUAUUAGGCCAUAAAACAAGUCUUAAUAAAUUUAAAAAGACAAAUCAUGCAAUGUAUCUUUUCCCAAUCACAAUGAAAUAAAACUAGACAUCAAUAGUGGAAAGAAAACUGGAAAAUCCAUAAAUAUAUGAAAAUUAAACAACAUACUCUUAAAGAACCAAUAAGUCAAAGAAUAAAUCACAAGACAGAUUAGAAAAUAUCUUCGUAAGGUCUUUCAGGCUGAUUGACUGUGCCAUGGACUGCAUGAUAAUCUCUGUGACCUGCACAGACACCUCCAGAUGAGUUCCUGAACUAGAAAGUCUGAAGUACCUGGAAAACCAUGAAAGGAGAAUGACCAGCCCUUGCAGUGCCUAAUUAACCUUGAGACAUUCUUCUGUUUUUCCUUAUUCCCACCUCAACUGAGAAGGCAACUGGACUUUGUAACCAACCUUGUUCAACUGAUAGGUCAACCUUGUGACUCAAGACCCUAUGACCCCCUCCCAGCUUGCAAAAAUCAUCCUGAACUGUGGCUUCUGUAACGUUCCACUGCCUACCCCAAACCUAUAGAGCCAACUCCUAUCCUGCUGCCCUCAGCUGACUCAACCCACCUGCACCCAGGUGAAUGUUGCUCACACAAAGCCUGUUUUGGGGGUGAGGUCUCUUCAUUCAGAGCACAUUUAACAAUCUUAGACAAAUUAUUAUGAAAAAAAUACAAUCAUGUCAUCUGCAAAUAGAGACAGUUUGACUUCCUCCUUUCCUAUUUGAACACCCUUUAUUUUUUUUCUUGCCUGAUGGCUCUGGCUAGAACUUCCAAUACUGUAUUGAAUAGGAGUGGUGAGAGAGGGCAUCCUUGUCUAGUGCCUGAUUUCAAAGGGAAUUCUUCCAGCUUUUGCCCAUUCAGUAUGAUAUUGGCUGUAGGUUUGUUAUAUAUAGCUUUUAUCAUUUUAUGAUAUAAUAGAAGAUAUCAUAAAAUGAUAAAAGCUAUAAUAUGACAAAUGUAAAUGCAUUUGAUUUCUCAAUAUAAAGACACAGUCUUUGAGAGUAUAUAUAAAUACCUAGUUUAUUGAGAGUUUUUAGCAUGAAGGAUUUUGAAUUUUGAAUUUUGUUGAAGGCCUUCUCUGCAUCUAUUGAGAUAAUCAUGUGGUUUUUGUCUUUGGUUCCAUUUAUGUGAUGGAUUAUGUUUAUGGACUUGCAUAUGUUGAACCAGACUUGCAUCCUCGGGAUGAAGCCUGCUUGAUCAUGAUGAAUAAGCUUUUUGAUGUGCUGUUGCAUUUGAUUGAUAAGCAACUUCAGCAAAGUCUCAGGAUACAAAAUCAAUGUGCAGAAAUCACAAGCAUUCCUAUAUGCCAAUAACAGAGAGAGAGCCAAAUCAAGAGCAAACUCCCAUUCACAAUUGCUACAAAGAGAAUAAAAUACCUAGGAAUACAACUAACAAAGGAUAUAAAGGACAUCUUCAAGAAGAACUACAAACCACUGAUCAACGAAAUAAGAGAGGACACAAACAGAUGGAAGAACAUUCCAUGCUCAUGGUUAGGAAGAAUUAAUAUCGUGAAAAUGGCCAUAAUGCACAAAGUAAUCUAUAGAUUCAACGCUAUCCCCAUCAAGCUACCGAUGACCUUCUUCAGAGAACUGAAAAAAAACCACUUUAAACUUCACAUGGAAUCACAAGAGAGCUCACAUAGCCAAGACAAUUCUAAGCAAAAAGAACAAAGCCAGAGGCAUCACACUGCUGGACUUCAAACCAUACUACAAGGCUACAGUAAUCAAAACAGCAUGCAGCAUGGUACUGGUACGAAAACAGAAACAUAGACCAAUGGAACAGAACAGAGGCCCCAGAAGCAACACCACACAUCUACAAGCAUCUGAUCUUUGACAAAGAUUCUGAUAGACAAAUGGGAUCUAAUUAAAAUUCAGAGCUUCUGUAAAGCAAAAGAAACCAUCAUUAGAGCAAACUAGCAACCAACAGAAUGGGAAAAAAUUUUUGCAAUUUACCCAUCUGACAAAGGGCUAAUAUCCAGAAUCUACAAAGAACUAAAACAGAUAUACAAGAAAAAAACAAAGAAUCCCAUUCAAAAGUGGACAAAGGAUAUGAACAGACACUUUUCAAAAGAAGACAUAUAUGAGGCCAACAAACAUAUGAAAAAAUGCUCAUCAUCACUGGUCAUUAGAGAAAUGCAAAUCAAAACUACAUUGAGAUACCAUCUCACACCAGUUAAAAUGGUGAUCAUUAAAAAAUCUGGAGACUACAGAUGUUAGAGAGGAUGUGGAGAAAUAGGAACACUCCUACACAGUUGGUGGGAGUGUAAAUUAGUUCAACCAUUGUGGAAGACAGUGUGGAAGGCUAUUUCUCAAAGAUCUAGAAAUGGAAAUUUCAUUUGACCCAGCAAUUCCAUUACUGGGUAUAUACCCAAAGAACUAUAAAUCGUUCUACUAUAAAGACACAAGCACACGUAUGUUCAUUGCAGCCCUGUGUACAAUAGCAAAGACCUGGAACCAACCUAAAUGCUCAUCAAUGAUAGACUGGACAAAGAAAAUGUGGUACACAUACACCAUGGAAUACUGUCUCACUGGCAUUCCAGGUACCACCAAGGUUUGGAAAAAAAAAAAAAACUCCAUUUUUUAUGCAGCCAUAAAAAACGAUGAGUUCAUGUCCUUUGUAGGGACUUGGAUGAAUCUGGAAGCCAUCAUUCUCAGCAAACUGACACAAGAACAGAAAACCAAACACCGCAUGUUCUCACUCAUAGGUGGGUAUUGAACAAUGAGAACACGUGGACUCAGAGAGGAGCAUCACACACAGUUGGGGUAGGUAGGGGAGGGACAGUGGGGAGUGGGGAGGGCAGGGAGGGAUAACAUGGGGAGAAAUGCUGGAUAUAGUAUACACCUAAAGUAAAAUUUAAAAAUUUAAAAAAGAGAAAAAAAUACCAACUGAUGGGAUGCAGCAAAAUAAUGCUAAGAGGGAAUCUCAUAGCUAAAAACGUUUCCAUCAAAAAAGAAGUGCCCCAGUGAACAUAUGUGUGCCUGUGUCUUUAUGAUAGAAUGAUUUACAUUCCUUUGGGUAAAUAAUGCGAUUGCUGAGUCAAAUAGAAAUUCUGUUUUAAGUUAUUUCAGAAAUUGCCAAACUGCUAUCCACAAUGGCUUUACUUACAAUAGCAAAGACAUGGAAUCAACCUAAAUGCCCAUCAGUGAUAGACUGGCAAGAUGGCCAAAUAGGAACAGCUCUGGUCUGAACCUCCCAAAGUGAUUGAUGUGGAAGGUGGGUGAUUUCUGCAUUUCCGACUGAGGUAUGCUUUUCAUCUCAUUGGGACUGGUUGGACGGUGAGUGUAGCCCACAGAGGGCAAGCUGAAGUAGGGUGAGCCAUUGCCUCACCCAGGAAGCCCAAGGGGCCUCUCCUAGCCAAGGGAAGCCAUGAGAGACUGUAAUGGGAAGAACGGUGCUUUCCAGCCCAGAUACUGCAUUUUUCCCACAGUCUUCACAACUGGCAGACCAGGAGAUUCCCUCUGGUGCCCAUACCACCAGGACCCUGGGUUACAAGCACAAAACUGGGGGGCCUUUUGGGCAGACACUGAACUAGCAGCAGGAGUUGUUGUUUGUUUUUUUUUCAAAUCCCAGUGGUACCUGGAAUGCCACUGAGACAGAAUACUUCACUCACCUGGAAUGGGGGCUGAAGCCAGGGAGCCAAGUGGUCUGGCUCAGCAUAUCUCACCCCCAUGGAGCCCAGCAAGCUAAGAUCCACUGGCUUGAAAUUCUCGCCACUAGCACAGCAGUCUGAGGUCAACCUGGGAUGAUUGAGCUUUGUGGAGGAAGGGGCGUCCAUCAUUGCUGAGACUUGAGUAGGUGGUUUUCCCCUCACAGUGUAUACAAAGUCACUAGGAAGUUAAAUGGGUGGAGCUCACUGCAGCUCAGCAAGGGGUCUGUGGCCAAACUGCCUGUGUAGAUUCCUCCUUCCUGGACAGGGAAUCUCUGAAAAAAAAAAAAAAAAAUGCAGCAGCCCCAGUCAGGAAGUUAUAAAUGAAACCCCCAUCUCCCUGCGACAGAGCACCUGGGGGAAGGGGUGACUGUGGGCACAGCUUCAGCAGACUUAAAUGUCCCUGCCUGACCGCUCUGAAGGGAGCAUGGGAGCUCUGAACACAGCAUUUGAGCUCUGAUAAGGGACAGACUGCCUCCUUAAAUGGGUCCUUGACCUCCUGUAUCCUGACUGAAAGUCACCUCCCAAUAGGGGCUGACAGACUGGCAAAUUGGAUAAAGUCAAGACCCAUAAGUGUGCUGUAUUCAGGAGACCCAUCAUCUCAGCCCAAAAUCUCCUUAAGCUGAUGAGCAACUUCAGCAAAGACUCAGGAUAUAAAAUCAAUGUGCAAAGAACACAAGCAUUCCUAUACACCAAUAAUAGACAAAAAAGGGAGCCAAAUCAUGAGUGAACUCCCAUUCACAAUUGCUACAAAGAGAAGAAAAUACCUAGGAAUACAACUUACAAGGGAUGUGAAGGACCUCUUCAAGAGAACUACAAACCACUGCUAAAGGAAAUAAGAGAGGACACAAACAAAUGGAAAAAUAUUCUAUGCUCAUGGAUGGGAAGAAUCAGUAUCAUGAAAAUGGCCAUACUGCCCCAUCAAGCUACCAUUGAUUUUCUUCACAGAACUGGAAAAACUACUUUAAACUUCAUGUGGAACCAAAAAAGAGCCUGCCUGCAUUGCCAGGACAAUCCUAAGCAAAUAGAACAAAGCUGGAGGCAUCACACUACCUGACGUCAAAGUAUACUACAAGCCUACAGUAACAAAAACAGCAUGGCAUUGGUACCAAAAUAGAUAUAUAAACCAACGGAACAGAACAGAGGCCUCAGAAAUAACACCACACAUCCAUAACCAUCUGAUCUUUGACAAAUAUGACAAAAACAAGCAAUGGGGAAAUGAUUCCCAAUUCAAUAAAUGAUGUUGGGAAAAUACUGGAUAGCCAUAUGCAGAAAGCUGGAUCCCUUCUUUACACCUUACACAAAAAUUAACUCCAGAUGGAGUUAAUUAACACAAAAAUUAACACCAUAAAAACCCUAGAAGAAAACCUAGGCAAUACCAUUCAGGACAUAGACAUGAGCAAAGACUUCAUGACUAAAACACCAAAAGCAAUGGCACCAAAAGCCAAAAUAGACAAAUAGGAUCUAAUUAAACUAAAGAGCUUCUGCACAGCAAGAGAAACUGUCAUCAGAAUGAACAAGCAACCUACAGAACAGGAGAAAAUGUUUGCACUCUAUCCAUCUAACAAAGGGCUAAUAUCCAGAAUCUAUAAAGAACUUAAAUUUACAAGAAAAAAACCAACAACUCCAUCAAAAAGUAGGCAAAGGAUAUGAACAGACCCUUCUCAAAAGAAGAACAGAAAAUGAAACACCGCAUAUUCUCACUCAUAGGUGGGUGAUGAAAAAUGAGAACACAUGGACACAGAAAGGGGAGUACUAAACACUGGGGUCUAUCGGGGGGAAAAGGGGAGGGCCAGUGGGAGGGGGAGUUGGGAGGGAUAGCCUGGGGAGAAAUGCCAAAUGUGGGUGAAGGGGAGAAGGAAAGAAAAGCACACUGCCAUGUGUGUUCCUACGCAACUGUCUUACAUGCUCUGCUCAUGUACCCCAAAACCUAAAAUCCAAUAAAAAAUUUAAAAAAAAAAAGAAGACAUUUAUGUGGCCAAGAAACAUAUGAAAAAAAGGUCAUCAUCAUGGGUCAUUGAAGAAAUGCAAAUCAAAACCACAAUGAGAUACCAUCUCACAUCAGUUAGAAUAGUGAUCAUUAAAAAGUCAGGAAAUAACAGAUGCUGGAGAGGAUGUGGAGAAAUAGGAAUGCUUUUACACUGUUGGUGGGAGUGUAAAAUAGUUCAACCAUUGUGGAAGACAGUGUUUUGAUUCCUCAAGGAUCUAGAACCAGAAAUACCAUUUGACCCAGCAAUCCCAUUACUGCGUAUAUACCCAAAGGAUUAUAAAUCAUUCUAUAAAGACACAUGCACACCUAUGUUUACUGUGGCACUGUUCACAGUAACAAAGACUUGGAACCAACCCAAAUGCCCAUGAAUAAUAGACUUUCUGGAUAAAGACAAUGUGGCACAUAUACACCAUGGAAUAUUAUGCAGCCAUAAAAAAGAAUGAGUUAGGGGCCGGGCGCGGUGGCUCACACCUGUAAUCCCAGCACUUUGGGAGGCUGAGGCGGGUGGAUCACGAGGUCAAGAGAUCGAGACCAUCCUGGUCAACACGGUGAAACCCCGUCUCUACUAAAAAUACAAAAAAUUAGCUGGGCAUGGUGGCACAUGCCUGUAAUCCCAGCUACUCAGGAGGCUGAGGCAGGAGAAUUGCCUGAACCCAGGAUGCGGAGGUUGCGGUGAACCAAGAUCGCGCCAUUGCACUCCAGCGUGGGUAACAAAAGGAAAACUGUCUCCAAAAAAAAAGAAUGAGUUAGAUCAUUUGCAGGGACAUGGAUGAAGCUGGAAACCAUCAUUCUCAGCAAACUAACACAGGAACAGAAAACCAAACACCACAUGUUUUGACUCAUAAGUGGGAGUUGAACAAUGAGAAUGCGAGACACAGGGAUGGGAACAUCACACACCAGAGCCUGUCAUGAGUUUGGGGCCAGGAGAGGGAUAGCAUUAGGAGAAAUACCUAAUAUAGCUGAUGGGUUGAUGGGUACAGCAUAUCACCAUGGCACGUGUAUACCUAUGUAACAAACCUGCAUGUUCUGUGCAUGUACCCCAGAACUUAAAAUAUAAUAAUUUUAAAAAGUGGCACACAUACACCAUGGAAUACUAUGCAGCCAUUAAAAAGAAAUACAGUCAUGUCCUUUGCAGGAAAAUGAAUGGAACUGGAGGACGUUAUUCUAAGUUAAUUAACAUAGGAACAGAAAACCAAAUACCACAUGUUCUCACUUAUAAGUGGUAGCUAAACAUCAAGUACACACGGACACAACGAAGAAAACAACAGAUUCUGGGGCAUACUUGGGGGUAGAGGGUAGGAGGAGGGUCAGGGUAAAAAACUAUCUAUUGUGUGCUAUGUUUAUUGUCCUAGUGACAAAAUUAUCUGCACAGCAAACCCCUGGGACAUGCGAUUUACCUAUAUAACAGACCAGUACAUGUACCACUUAACCUAAAAUAAAAAUUAAGAAAACAGUGCUGUGUUUUCUUAUGUGCAUAGGUAGCUGUGCUGCAGAGAGGCAUAGAGGAGCACCCCCACCCUCACCCGCUGCCCGGGGCCCUGGUAAUCAACACACUUCUCUGUGCCUGGGGCAAGACCCAGCCAGCCCCAGGUACCAUGCUGCCCUAGGACCAGCCCUUCUGACAAAUCCUGGUGCCCGAGAGCCCCUCCCCUGCUGGAAAUUGAUGCAUCCAGUUCCUCCAGUCUUUUUCGUUUUUAUUUUUUUUUUGAGUCGGAUUCUCGCACCGUCACCUGGCAUGAUCUGCAACCUCUGCUUCCCGGGUUCAAGAGAUUCUCCUGCCUCAGCCUCCCCGGUAGCUGGGAUUACAGGUGCCCACCACCAUGCCUGGCUAAUUUUUUGUAUUUGUAUUAGAGAUGGUGUCUCACCACGUUGGCUGGCUAGUCUUGAACUCCUGACCUUAUGAUUCGCCCACCUCAGCCACCCAAAGUGCUGGGAUUACAGGUGUGAGUCACCACGCCCAGCCCAGUCCUAUUUUUAAUGAAUUGUGAUCCAACCAUUUAAGAUUCGAACACAGAGCAGUGUAUGCUAGAUGACAGAGCAACCCGGCUAGGUAUUUUGCAGACAACAGGACAAGAAGAGUUUGCAGCCAUGAGGCAACGGUGUGUGAGGACUGGUAAGUUUCCUGUUGGUCUUUUCAGGCAAAGAUAGAGGCAGUUUUGAGGAAACCUAUCAAUUCCAAAGAUAGAUUCUCCUUAGAGUAAAGGAGCAUGGUGAGUUUUCAAUGAUUUUAAUGGGUAAUAAAGCACCUCUGGAUCAUCAGAGACAGGAAGGACAGCAAUUAGCACAAUAACCUAGGGUAAUAUAUAUGGAGGCAUCAGCAAAGAUUAGGAUGAAUGCAGUCCAUCACAACCGGUCUCAAGCUUUCUAUGAACAUCUCUGGGUUAUAAGGAAAUUUCAAGAGCAGAAAUGUCCUCCUUCACCAGAACCAAUGAGGAAAGAAAAAGAUAAGGAGCAGUAACAUUGUGUCAUUUUUCUAGAAUCCCUUGAGUAUUACCUACCAAAUGCCAGGAAAAGGCCUCAUCUCCUCCUCCUCUCCUUACAGUUUACAUCUUGUUGGUACCAUUCUAGCCUUAGACAAAUAAUGACCCUGUUAGCUUUAGAACAAGACGCUGGCUAGUUCUUUCCAUGAAGCUAAUGCAAUGGUCAUUUCCAGGCAAAUUUAAAGGAAACGUUAAGGCUGUUUCAUAGAUUAUCAGAUUCCUUUAAAAUAUAUAUCUAUAUAUACACAGACACGUUCUUUUUUAAGUGCUUACAUUGUAAUAGAGUCAAAACAUCUUGGGAACCUAGGUCAUUUGCCAAGCCAAAGCCACAGGCUGUGAAAUAAUUUUAACUUCUGGAAUCAUGUGGUCUACUGUUACUCCAAAUACAAAUAUAUGGAUUUUUAAUGUGAUUUUUUUGGACUAUUUAAAAAUUUUUAAUGUCAGCUUUAGCGAACUUUAAAUACACAGAAUUGAAUCUACAGAAGUGAGACAUCUCAGUAUCAAAAUGCCUAUUGUAUUUAUGGAUUAAAAACUGCUUACAAAAGCCUGUGUUACUACUCCCGCUCUUGAAGAUGAUAAUAUUCUACCUGGUCAAAUACUUCAACUCAUUCUAAACUUAAGCAUUUCAGUAUAUUUGAUGUUUUUUUUUUUAAAUUAACUCUUUUCACAGCCAUGCUAAGGUUAAAAAUGAAUAAUUUCUGCCUGUCUUUUCAAGUAUUUCUGGAUAAGGGAUUCAAAAAAAAUGGAAACUAUAUGACAUAACAGUAAUGGAAUAUAUGGAAUUGGUCUUUCUAGGGUCAGAGAUGAUUCAUGCUUUUGCUAUAAACUUUUACACAUUAUUUUCUUAUCAAAUAAUAUUUUAUAUGUAUGUAAGCAAAUGUGCUUUCACAGCAUACUUGUGCCUAUGCAAAGACAAGUAUUUAAUUUUCACUCUUCACUUUUAACUGACAAAGCAAACGAAGUGGAAACUACCGGUGCUGUGGCAGAACUUUUACUUGCUGGUCUGAUCUGGUUGUAUGCACAAGACCAGUACGUGGCCAGUACAAAAGGAUGAGACUAUGCAAUCCCACCAGAUAUUGACUGUUAUAUCAAGUAUUAAGUGUGAAACUUUUCAUUGACAAUAGUAUAACUGUGAAUGGCUUCUGGUUUUGUUUUUAAUUCUGUGGAUUGUGUUUAAACAAUUCUAAAGUCUGUUCCUUUUUUGAGGUUUUAAGUGGUAUUACACACAUUUAUACAAUGUCUAAAGACCUGUACCCUUAUACAGCUUCGGGUCUAGAAUUAAAAUUAAUCUGUUAUCACAGAAAAAAAUAAUAAGAAGAAAUAUCUCAAAUCUACAAUCUGACUUAAUACAUUAAGGAACUAGAAAAGAAGAAUAAACCCAGAGUUAGAAAAAUUAAGGUAAUAAUAUAGAUUAGAGCAAAGAAAAACAAAACCAAGAAUAGAAAAGCAAUAAGAGAAAAUCAAUGAAACCAAGAGUUACUUUAUUAAAACAUCAAGAAAAUGGACAGAGUAAGAAAAAAAUACUCAAAUAAUGAAAAUUAGAAAAGAGGAAUAUAAUUAUCAAUUUUAUAAAAAUAAAAAGAAUUAAAAGCGAGUAUUUUCAAGAAUUGUAUGCCAACACCUUGGUUAAUCUAGAUUAAAUUGACAAAUUCCUAGAAAAACACAACCUACCAAGAUUGAAUCAGAAGAAAUAAAUAAUCUGAACAGAUCUCUAACUGGUAAGGAGGUUGAAUCACUGAUCAAAAGUCUCCCAAUAAUGAAAAGCCCAGGACACAUGGAUUCACUGGUGAAUUCUACCAAACAUUAAAGGAAUAAUUGUCAAAGACAAAUUGUCUUCAAAUUAUCCAAAAAUUGCCAGGCUUGGUGGCUCAUACCUGUAAUCCCGGUACUUUGGGAGGCCAAGGCAGCCAGAUCAGCUGAGGCUGGGAGUUUGAGACCAGUCUGACCAAGGUGGAGAAACCCCAUCUCUACCAAAAAAACAAAAUUUGAGAAGCAUGGUGGUGCAUGCCUGUAAUCCCAGCUACUACGAAGGCUGAGGCAGGAGAAUUGCUUGAAGGCAGAUGUUGCAGUGAGCUGAAAUGGCACCAUUGCACUCCAGCCUGAGCAACAAGAGUGAAACUCCAUCUGAAAAAAAAAAAAAGAAUUCUUCCAAAAAACGGAAGAUUCAGGAGCACUUCCAAACUCAUUCUAUGAGGGCAGUGUUACCUUGAUACCAAAGAAAAGCAAAGACACUACAAGAAAACUAUAGGCCAAUAUAUCUGAUGAAUAUUAGUGUAAAAAUUCUCAUCAAAAUACUAGCAAGUAGAAUUCAAUAGCACAUUAAAAGGAUUAUAAACCAUAAUCAAAUAAGAUUUAUUCCUGGAAUGCAAGGAUGAUUCAGCAGAUGACAAUCAACCAAUGUAUAUCACAUCACCAGAAUGAAGAGGAAAAAAAAGACUACGAUUGAUUAUCUCAACCAAUGCAGAAAAAAGCAUCAGAAAACAAAAAAAACCCCGGCUGGGCGCGGUGGCUCAUGCCUAUAAUCUCAGCACUUUGGGAGGCUGAGGAGGGUGGAUCACGAGGUCAAGAGAUCGAGACCAUCCUGGUCAACAUGGUGAAACCCUGUUUCUACUAAAAAUACAAAAAAAAAAAAAAAUUAGCUGGGCAUGGUGGCACAUGCCUGUAGUCCCAGCUGCUCAGGAGGCUGAGGCAGGAGAAUUGCUUGAACCCAAGAGGCGGAGGUUGCAAUGAGCUGAGAUAGAGUUAUUGCACUUUAGCCUGGGCAACAAGAGCAAAACUCCAUCUCAAAAAACCCUCAAUAGAUUAAGAAUAGAGGCCAGGUGCAGUGGCUCUCAUCUGUAAUCCUAGCACUUUGGGAGGCUGAGGCGAGCGGAUCACCAGGUGAGACCAUCCUGGCCAACCUGGUGAAACCCCAUCUCUACUAAAAAUACAAAAAUUAGCUGGGUGUGGUGACAUGUGUCUGUAGUCCCACUUACUCAGGAGACCGAGGCAGGAGAAUUGCUUGAACCUGGGAGGCGGAGGUUGCAGUGAGCCAAGAUCGCACCACUGCACUCCAGCCUGGUGACAGAGCAAGCCUCUGUCUCCAAAAAAAAAAAAAAAAGAACAGAAGGAACAUAAUAAUGGCCACAUAUGAAAAGGCCACAUGCAUCAUUUCCAUUAAUGAAAGACUGAAAACUUUCUGCUGGAUUAGGCAGAAGACAAGUAUAUCUAUUUUACCACUUCUAUUCAACAAAAUACUUGAAGCACUAGCCAAAUUUGUUAAGUAAGAAACAAACUGAAGGCAUUCAAGUUAGAAUGGAAGAAGUAAAAUUAUCCCUGUUCACAAAUGGCAUGAUUUGAUAUGUAGCAACCACUAAACAUUCCACGAGAAAAGCUGCUAGAACUAAUAAAUUUAGCAUGGCUGGACAUAAUGGCUCAUGCCUGUAAUCCCAGGCACUUUGGGAGGCUGAGCUGGGAGAAUCGCUUGAGGUCAGGAGUUCAAGACAAAUUUAGCAAAGUUGCAAGAUACAGCAUCAGCACACAAAAAUCAGUUGUUUCUAUAUACUAACCAUGUGCAGUCUGAAAAGGAAAUUAAGGGAAAAAAAUUCAUUUAGCCACCAAGAUGGCCAAAUAGGAACAGCUCCAGGGUGCAGUUCCCAGCAAGAGUGACACAGAAGCUGGGUGAUCUUUGCAUUUCCAACUCAGGUAUCAGGUUCAUUUCACUGGGACUGGUUAAAGAGUGGGUGUAGCCCAAAGAGGGUGAGCUGAAGCAGGGCAGGUUGUUACCUUACCUGGGAAGGCAAGGGGCCAAAGAACUCCAUCUCCUAGCCAACGGAAGCCAUUAGGGACUUUUCCUGACACACUGGCACACUGGCUUAGAUACUGCGCUUUUCCCACAGUCUUCACAACCUGCACGUCAGUAGAUUCCCUCCAGUGCCUACAACAUCAGCGCCCCAGGUUUCCAGCACAAAACUGGGCAGCUGUUUUAUCUACAGCAGUGUUUUUUCUCAUAUCCCAGUGGUACCUGGAAUGCCAGUGAGACAGAACUAACUGCUCAUUCCCCCAAACAAAGGAGCUGAAGCCAGGGAGCCAAGCUUGGUGGCUUGGUGGGUCCCACCUGCAUGAAGUCCAGCAAGCUAAGAUCCACUGGCUUGAAAUUCUCAUAGCCAGCACAGCAGUCUCAAGCUCAAUGUGGGGAGGGGUAUCCACCAUUGCUGAGGCUCGGGUAGGUGGUUUUCACCUCGCCUGUGUAAACAAAGUCUCCCGGAAGUUUAUACAGCAACUGGGCAGAGCCCAUGGCAUCUCAGCAAGGCCUCUGCAGGCAGACUAUCACCAUACUCCCUUCUUGCUGGGUAUGACAUCUCUGAAAAAAGGCAGCAGCAUGUCAGGGAGUUAUAAAUAAAGCCCCACCUUCCUGGGACAGAGCACCUGGGAAAAGGGACAGUUGUGGGUUCACCUUCAGCAGACUUAAAUGUCCCUGACUGGCAGUUCUGAAGGGAGCUACGAAUAUCCCAAUAAAGUGCUCGAGCUCUGAUAAGGGACCGACUGACUUCUCAAGUGGCUCCCUGACCCCCAUGUAUCCUGACUGGGAGACAUUUCCCACAGGGGCUGAAAGACACCUCAUACUGGAGAGCUCUGGUGGGCAUCUGGCAGGUACCCUUCUGAAACAAAGCUACCAGAGGAAGGAACAGGCAGCAAUCUUUGCUGCUCUGCAGCCCCUUGUGGUGACUCCCAGCCAAACAGGGUCUAGAGUGGAUCUCCAGCAAACUCCAACAGGCCUGCAGCAGAGGAGCCUGUUAGAAGGAAAACUAACAAACAGAAACAAAUAGUUCCAACAUCUACAGAAAGAAUGUCCACUCACACACCCCAUGCAAAGGUCACCAACUUCAAAGACCAAAAGUAGAUAACUCCACAAAGAUGGGAAGAAACCAGUGCAAAAGGCUGAAAUCCCCCAAAACCAGAACAGCUCUUCUCCUCCAAGGGAUCACAACUCCUCACCAUCUAAAAAACAAAACUGGAUGGAGAAUGAGUUUGACAAAUUGACAGAAGCAGGCUUCAGAAGGUGGGUAAUAACAAACUUCAAGCUGAAGGAGCGUGUUCUAAUCCAAUGCCAGGAAGCUAAGAACCUUGAGAAAAGGUCAGAUGAAAUGCUAACUAGAAUAACCAGCAUAGAGAAGAACAUAAACAAUUUGACGGAGCUGAGAAACACAGCAUGAGAAAGUCGUGAAGCAUAAACAAGUUUCAAUAGCUGAAUCAAUCAGGCAGAAGAGAGGAUAUCAGAGAUUGAAGAUCAACUCAAUGAAAUAAAGCAAUAAGGCAAGAUUAGAGAAAAAAGAAUGAAAAGAAAUUAACAAAGCCUCCAAGAAAUAUGGGAUUAUGUGAAAAGUCCAAAUCCACAUUUGAUUGGUGUUCCUGAAAGUGACAGAAUGAAACCAAGUUGGAAAAUACCCUUCAGGAUAUUAUCCAGGAGAAUUACCCCAACCUAGCAAGGAGGCCAACAUUCAAAUUCAGGAAAAAGAACACCACAAAGAUAUUCCUCGAGAAGAGCAACCCGAAGACACAUAAUCAUCAGAUUCACCAUGGUUGAACUGAAGGAAAAAAUGCUAAGAGCAGCCAGAGAGAAAGGUCGGGUUCCCCACAAAGGGACGCCCAUCAGACUAAUAGCAGAUUUCUCAGCAGAAACUAUACAAUCCAAAAGAAAGUGGGACCCAAUAUUCAACAUCUUUAAAGAAAAGAAUUUGCAACCUAGAAUUUCAUAUCCGGCCGAACUAAAUUUCAUAAGCAAGGGAGAAAUAAAAUCCUUUACCAGCAAGCAAUUGUUGAGAGAUUUUGUCACCACCAUGCCUGCCUUACAAGAGCUCCUGAAGGAAGCACUAAAUAUGGAAAGGAACAACCAGUACCAGCCACUGCAAAAACAUAUCAAAUUGUAAAGACCAUAGUGUAAAGACACAUGAAGAAACUGCUCCAAUAAAUGAGCAAAACAACCAGCUAGCAUCAAAAUGGCAGUAUCAAAUUCACACAUAACAAUAUUAACCUUAAAUGUAAAUGGGAAUAAAUGCCCCAAUCAAAAGACACAGAUCGGUAAGUUGGAUAAAGACCAAUUGGUGUGCUGUAUUCAGGAGACCUGUCUCACAUACAAAGACACACAUAGGCUCAAAUUAAAGGGAUGGAGGAAGAUUUACCAAGCAAAUGGAGAGCAAAAAAAAAGCAGGAAUCCUAGUGUCUGAUACAACAGAUGUUAAACCAACAAAGAUCAAAAGAAACAAAAAAGGACAUUACAUAAUGGUAAAGGGAUCAAUGCAACAAGAAGAGCUAACUAUCCUAAAUAUACUUGCACCCAAUACAGGAGCACCCAGAUACAUAAAGUAAGUUCUUAAUGAACUACAAAGAGACUUAGAUUCCCACACAAUAAUAGUGGGACACUUUAACACUCCACUGUCAAUAUUAGAUCAAUGAGACAGAAAAUUAACAAGGAUAUCCAGGACUUGAACUCAGAUCUGGACCAAGCAAACCUAAUAGAUAGGUACAGAACUCUCCAUCCUAAAUCCACAGAAUAUACAUUCUUCUCAGCACCACAUGCACUUAUUCUAAAAUUUACCACAUAAUUGAAAGUAAAAUACUCCUCAGCAAAUGCAAAAGAACAGAAAUUAUAACAAACAGUCUCUCAGACUACCAAGCAAUCAAAUUAGAAGUCAGGAUUAAGAAACUCACACAAGGAGGAGGAUUCAAGAUGGCGCGGUAAGAACAACUCAGGAUCGCAGCUUUCAGUGAACGCUCAGAGGGUGAGUCAAAGCCGCAUUUCCAGACGGAUCUUUGUUGCCCACAGAACGGGGAAAUUGCCAGGUGUAGGAGAGACACGGGAUGCAAGCGCAGCCCUUUUGGCAGUUGCGGCCGCUUCAACCGAUGCCGCAGCGCAGCGGCACUCCGCAACAAUCCGCACAAAACACACUGGCCCGGGUGCCCUGCUAAACUGGCAAUUUGAGAUUUGGGAGGGCAGAUUAGCAUAUCCAUCUGAUUAAACGGGACUUGACAGUGAGCCAGACCAGGAGAUUCCUGGGAAGUGGCGUUUGAGCCAGCGCAGUGGCUCACUGCACGGGAAAUCACACAGAUCCCGGUGCCCUAACAGCAGGCGACCAAAACACCUGGGAGAAAGCCAUCCGUUCAACUUAAAAAAAAAAAAAAAAAAAAAAAAAAAAAGGCACUCUGAGGCACGGGUCAGGCGAGCAGGCUCGGUGGGUUUCACCCCCACAGGGACAAACAAAACGGCAAUUUGAAAUGCUCUGGGUGGAGAGUUUCACUGCGGCCACAGCUGAACCCAGGAUGGUGCAACUCGGUGGGGGAGGGGCGUCUGCCAUUACCAAGGCAAUCCACCCCUACUGAGGUACACUCCCAUUGCUGAUGCAGCCUGCCAUUGCCGAGGCAACCCGCCAUAACAGAGAGACUCCGCUGCAGGGCGGAGCGCAUGGCAGCAGGGCGGAGCCCACAGUGGAGCCCGCGGCUGCGGGGCAGAGCCCGCAGCAACAGGGCGGACCCCACAUCAGCAGGGCAGAGCCUCGGCAGGCAAAUAGUGACUAGACUGCCUCCUAGCUGGGCAGGAUAGUGCAAUGGACACUCAUAAAGAAAGCCCCAACUCCCUGAGACAGAGCAUGAGGAAAAAAAGGGGUUUUAAGAGUUCUGCUGCAGCAGACAUAAAUGUAGCAGCCUAACAGCCCUGAAUGAACAACAGAGCUCAUAGCUCAGCACUUGAGCUCCUAUAAAGUACAGACCGUCUCCUCAAGGAGCUCCCUGACCCCUGUAUAUCCAGAAUCACCUCAAAAAUGACUGAUCAGACUGAUAUUAGGUGGGCAUCAUUCUGGGACAAAGAUAGCAGAAGAAGGAACUGGUAGCAUCCCUCACUGUUCUGCAGCUGCUACAGGUGUACCCCAGACAAGCAGGGCCUGGAGUGGACCUCAGCAGUCAUACAGCAGAGGGGCUAGACUGGUAGAAGGAAAACCAAGUGACAGAAAUACCUCAUCAUCUACAAUCUGGGCGUCCACUCAGAGACCCAAUUGAAAAGUCAGCAACUACUCAGAUGACAGGUAGAUAAAUCCACAAAGAUGGGAAGAAACCAGCGCAAAAAGGAGGAAAGCACCCAAAACCAGAACACCUCGCCUCCUACAAAGGACCAAAACUCCUCACCAGCAAGGGAACAAAGCUGGACGGAGAAUGAGUGUGACGAAAUGAUGGAAUCAGACUUCAGAAGGUGGGUAAUGAGAAACUUCUGUGAGCUAAAAGAACAUGUUCUAAAUCAAUGCAAAGAAACUAAGAACCUUGAAAAAAGAUUCGAGGAAAUGAUAACAGAAUGGAUAACUUAGAAAGGAAUAUGAAUGAAUUGAAGGAGCUGAAAAACACAACACGAGAACUUCGCGAAGCAUGCACAAGUUUCAACAGCCGAAUUGACCAAGCAGAAGAAAGAAUAUCAGAAGUCGAAGAUCAACUCAAUGAAAUAAAACGAGAAACCAAGAUUAGAGAAAAAAAUGCAAAAAGGAAUGAACAAAGUCUCCAAGAAAUGUGGGACUAUGUGAAGAGACCUAACCUACGUUUGAUAGGUGUACCUGAAUGUGACGAAGAGAACAAAUUCAAACUGAAAAAUACUCUUCAGGAUAUUAUCCAGGAAAUGUUCCCCAACCUAGCAAGGCAGACCAACACUCAAAUCCAGGAAAUACAGAGAACACCACAAAGAUACUCUGCAAGAAGAGCAACCCCAAGGCACAUCAUCGUCAGAUUCACCAGGGUUGAAAUGAAGGAGAAAAUACUAAGGGCAGCCAGAGAGAAAGGUCAGGUCACACACAAAGGGAAGCCCAUCAGACUCACAGCAGAUCUCUCGGCAGAAACUCUACAAGCAAGAAGAGAGUGGGGGCCAAUAUUCAACAUCCUUAAAGAAAAGAACUUUCAACCCAGAAUUACAUAUCCAGCCAAACUGAGCUUCAUAAGUGAAGGAAAAAUAAAAUCCUUUGUGAACAAGCAAGUACUCAGAGAUUUUGUCACCACCAGGCCUGCUUUACAAGAGCUCCUGAAAGAGGCACUACACAUAGAAAGGAACAACCAGUACCAGCCAUUCCAAAAGCACACUAAAUGCUAAAGAGCAUCAACAAAAUGAAGAAUCUACAACAACUAACAGGCAAAACAGCCAGCUAGCAUCAAAAUGGCAGUAUCAAAUUCACACAUAACAAGAUUAACCCUAAAUGUAAAUGGGCUAAAUGCACCAAUCAAAAGACACAGACUGGCAAAUUGGAUAAAAAAUCAAAACCCAUCAGUGUGCUGUAUCCAGGAAACCCAUCUUACAUGCAGGGAUACACAAAGGCUCAAAAUAAAGGGAUGGAGGAAGAUUUACCAAGCAAAUGGAGAGCAAAAAAAAAAAAAGCAGGAGUUUCAAUUCUCAUCUCUGAUAAAAUAGACUUUAAAGCAACAAAGCUCAGAAGAGACAAAGAAGGUCAUUACAUUAUGGUAAAAGGAUCGAUACAACAAGAAGAGCUAAUGAUUCUAAAUAUAUAUGGACCCAAUACAGGAGCACCCAGAUAUAUAAGGCAAGUUCUUAAUGGCUUACAAAGAGACUUAGACUCCCACACAAUAAUAGUGGGAGACUUUAACACUCCACUGUCAAUAUUAGACAGAUCAACCAGACAGAAAAUUAACAAGGAUAUCUAGGGCUUGAACUCAGACCUGGAACAAGCAAACCUGAUAGACAUCUACAGAACUCUCCACCCCAAAUCCAAAGAAUAUACAUUCUUCUCAGCACCACAUCACACCUACUCUAAAAUUGACCACAUAAUUGGAAGUAAAGCACUCCUCAGCAAAUGCAAAACAACGGAAAUCAGAACAAACAGUUUCUCAGACCAUAGUGCAAUCAAGGUAGAACUCAGAAUUCAGAAACUAACCCAGAACCGCACAGCUUCAUGGAAACUGAACAACUGGCUCCUGAAUGUUGACUGGAUAAACAAUGAAAUUAAGGCAGAAAUAAAGAAGUUCUUUGAAACCAACGAGAACAGAGACACAACAUACCAUAAUCUCUGGGACACAUUUAAAGCAGUCUCUAGAGGAAAAUAUAUAGCAAUAAGUGCCCAUAUGAGAAGAGUGGAGAAAUCCAAAAUUGACACCCUAUCAUCAAAAUUGAAAGAGCUAGAGAAGCAAGAUUAAAAAAACUCAAAACCCAGCAGAAGACAAGAAAUAACUAAGAUCAGAGCAGAACUGAAGGAGAUAGAGACACGAAAAACCCUACGAAAAAUCAAGAGCUGGUUUUUUGAAAAGAUCAACAAAAUAGACCACUAGCCAGACUGAUAAAAAAAGAAAAGAGAGAACAACCAAAUAGAUGCAAUAAAAAACGAUAAAGGGGAAAUCACCACAGAUUCCACAGAAAUUCAAACCAUCAUCAGAGAACAUUACAAACAACUCUAUGCACAUAAACUAGUAAACCUGGAAGAAAUGGAUAAAUUCCUGGACACCUGUGUCCUCCCAAGCCUAAACCAGGAGGAAGCUGAAACUAUGAAUAGACCAAUAACAAGGUCUGAAGUUGAGGCAGCAAUUAAGAGCCUACCACACAAAAAAAGUCCAGGUCCAGAUGGGUUCACAACCGAAUUCUACCAGACACACAAAGAGGAACUGGUACCAUUCCUUCUGAAACUAUUCCGAAUAAUCCAAAAAAGAGGGAAUCCUUCCCAAAUUAUUUUAUGAGACCAACAUCAUCCUGUUACCAAAACCCGGCAGAGACCCAACAAGAAAAGAAAACUUCAGGCCAAUAUCCAUGAUGAACAUAGAUGCAAAAAUCUUCAAUAAAAUACUGGCAAGCCGAUUGCAACAGCAAAUCAAAAAACUUAUCCAUCAUGAUCAAGUAGGAUUCAUCCCGGGGAUGUGAGGCUGGUUCAACAUAUGCAAGUCUAUAAACGUAAUUCACCACAUAAACAGAACCAAAAACAAAAACCACAUGAUUAUCUCAAUUGACGCAGAGAAGGCAUUUGACAGAAUACAACAGCCCUUUAUGCUAAAAACCCUCAAUAAACUCGGUAUCGGUGGAAUGUAUCUCAAAGUAAUAAAAGCUAUUUAUGACAAACCAACAGCCAAUAUCAUACUGAAUGGGCAAAAACUGGAAGCAUUCCCUUUGAAAUCUGGCACUAGACAAGGAUGCCCUCUUUCACCACUCCUAUUCAAUAUAGUACUGGAAGUUCUAGCCAGAGCAAUCAGGCAAGAAAAAGAAAUAAAGGGUAUUCAAAUAGGAAAGAUGGAAGCCAAAUUGUCUCUAUUUGCAGACGACAUGAUAGUAUACCUAGAAGACCCCAUCGCCUCAGCCCAAAAACUCCUGAAACUGAUAAGCAACUUCAGCAAAGUCUCAGGAUAUAAAAUCAAUGUGCAAAAAUCACAAGCAUUCGUCUACACCAAAACAGAGUUAAAAACCAAUGGAACAGAACAGAAGCCUUGGAAAUAACACCACACAUCUACAACCAUCUGAUCCUUGAAAAACCUGACAAAAACAAACAAUGGGGAAAUGAUUCCCUAUUCCUAUUCAAUAAAUGCUAUUGGGAAAACUGGCUAGCCAUAUGCAGAAAGCUGAAACUGGAUCCCUUCCUUACAGCUUAUACAAAAAUUAACACCAUAUGGAUUAAAGAUUUAAACAUAAGACCUAACACCAUAAAAACCCUAGAAGAAAACCUAGGCAAUACCAUUCAGGACAUAGGCAUAGGCAAGGACUUUAUGACUAAAACACCAAAAGCAAUGGCAACAAAAGCCAAAAUAGACAAAUGGGAUCUAAUUAAAUAAAGAGUAUCUGCAUAGCAAAAGAAACUAUCUUUUGAGUGAAUUGGCAACCAACAGAAUAAGAAAAAACUUUUGCAACCUACCCAUCUAACAAGGGCUAAUAUCCAGAAUCUACAAAGAACUUUAAAAAAUUACAAGAAAAAAAUUAUCAAAAAGUGGGCAAAGAAUAUGAACAGACACUUCUCAAAAGGAGACAUUUAUGCAGUCAGCAAACAUAUGAAAAAAAGCUCAUUAUCAUGGGUCAUUAGAGAAAUGUAAAUCAAAAUCACGUUGAGAUAAUAUCUCAUGCCAGUUAGAAUGAAGAUUAUUAAAAAAUCUGGAGACAGAUGCUGGAGAGGAUGUGCAGAAAUAGGAAUGCUUUUACACUGUUGGUGAGAGUGUAAAUUAGUUCAACCAUUGUAGAAGACAGUGUGGUGAUUCCUCAAGGAUCUAGAAAUAGAAAUGCCAUUUGACCCAGCAAUCCCAUUACUGGAUAUCUACCCAAAGGAUUAUAAAUCAUUCUAUUUAUAAAGACACAUGCAUAUGAAUGAUUAUUGUGGCACUGCUUACAAGAGCAAAGACUUGGAACUAACCCAAAUUCCCAUCAGAGAUAGACUGGAUAAAGAUAAUGUGGCACAUAUACACCAUGGAAUACUAUGCUGCCAUAAGAAAGGAUGAGUUCAGGUCCUUUACAGGGACAUGGAUAAAGCUAGAAACCAUCAUUCUCAGCAAACUGAAACCAGAACAGAAAACCAAGCACUGCACAUUCUCACUCAUAAGUGUGUGUUGAACAAUGAGAACACAUGGAUGCAGGGAGGGGAACAUCACACACUAGGGCCUGUUGGAGGGUGAGUGUUUAGGGGAGGGAUAACAGGCAGUGGUGCUUAGGGGAGGGAUAACAGGAGAAAUACCUAAUGUAGAUGACAGGAUGAUGGAUGCAUCAAACCACCAUGGCAGGUAUAUACCUAUGUAACAAACCUGCACAUUCUACACAUGUACCCCAGAACCUAAAGGACGAUAAAAUAAAAUCCAUUUACAACAGCAUCAGAAAGAAUAAAAUACUUAGAAAUAAACUUUACCAAGAAGGGAAGAGACAUACAUUGAAAACUACAAAACACUGCUUAACGAAAUUAAAGACAUCAAUAAAUGAAAAGGCUUUUCGGGUUUAUGGAGUGGAAGACUUAACAUCUUUACAAUGUCAGUACUACCCAAAGAGAUCUGUCAAUCAAAUGCAAUUUCUGUUGAAAUCCAAAUGGUGAGUUUUUGUUAGAAAUAAAAAAAUUCACACUAAAAUUCAUGUGGAAUCUCAAGGGACCCCCAAAUAGCCAAAAUAAUCUUGAAAAAAGAACAAAGCUGGAGGUCUUACAUUUCCUGACUUCAAAGCUAUUGUAAUCAAAACAGUAUGGUGCUGGGAUAAAGACAGACAUAGAGAUCAAUGGAUCAAAACAGAGAGCCCAGAAAUCAACUUUGUAUAUGUAUGGUCAAAUGAUUUUUGACAAGGGUUCUAAGAUCAAUAGGGAAUGGACAGUCUUUUCAACAAACAGUUUUGGGAAAAAUGAUGUCUACAUCCAAAAGAAUGAAACUUGGCCUUUAGCUUACAACAUAGACAACAAUUCACUAAAAUGGAUCAAAGACCUAAGUAUAAGAGCUAAAAGUAUAAACCUCUUAGAAAGAAACAUAGGGGAAAAGAUUUACAACAUUGGAUAUGGCAAUAGGUUCUUGAAUAUGACACCAAACGAACAGGCAACAAAAGAAAAUAUAAAUAAUUUGGACUACAUUGAAAUAAAAAUCUGUGCACCGGCCGAGCAUGGUGGCUCACGCCUAUAAUCCCAGCACUUUGGGAGGCUGAGGCAGGUGGAUCACGAGGUCAAGAGAUCGAGACCAUCCUGGUCAACAAGGUGAAACCCUGUCUCUACUAAAAAUACAAAAAAUUAGCUGGGCAUGGUGGUGCGCGCCUGUAGUCCCAGCUACUCGGGAGGCUGAGGCAGGAGAAUUGCUUGAACCAAGGAGGCGGAGGCUGCGGUGAGCCGAGAUCGUGCCAUUGCACUCCAGCCUGGGUAACAAGAGUGAAACCCCAUGUAGGAAAAAAAAAAAAAAAAUCUGUGCACCAAAGGACUGAAUCAACCAAGUGAAAAAGCAAUCUAUAGAAUAAAAGAAAA